GAUGAACGCUGGCGGCGUGCCUAAUACAUGCAAGUCGAGCGAACGGACGAGAAGCUUGCUUUUCUGAUGUUAGCGGCGGACGGGUGAGUAACACGUGGACAACCUACCUAUAAGACUGGGAUAACUUCGGGAAACCGGAGCUAAUACCGGAUAAUAUUUUGAACCGCAUGGUUCAAAAGUGAAAGACGGUCUUGCUGUCACUUAUAGAUGGAUCCGCGCUGCAUUAGCUAGUUGGUAAGGUAACGGCUUACCAAGGCAACGAUGCAUAGCCGACCUGAGAGGGUGAUCGGCCACACUGGAACUGAGACACGGUCCAGACUCCUACGGGAGGCAGCAGUAGGGAAUCUUCCGCAAUGGGCGAAAGCCUAACGGAGCAACUCCGCGUGAGUGAUGAAGGUCUUCGGAUCGUAAAACUCUGUUAUUAGGGAAGAACAUAUGUGUAAGUAACUGUGCACAUCUUGACGGUACCUAAUCAGAAAGCCACGGCUAACUACGUG
rnacentral:rRNA from 1 species